rnacentral:rRNA from 1 species
AUUGAACGCUGGCGGCAGGCCUAACACAUGCAAGUCGAACGAGUGGCGGACGGGUGAGUUAUGUCUGGGAAACUGCCUGAAGGAGGGGGAUAACUACUGGAAACGGUAGCUAAUACCGCAUACCAUCAGCUGUGCCCAGAUGGGAUUCGCUUGUUGGUGGGGUAACGGCUCACCAAGGCGACGAUCCCUAGCUGGUCUGAGAGGAUGACCAGCCACACUGGAGCUGAGACAAUGUCCAGAAUCCUAAGGGAGGCAGUGGUGGAGAAUAUUGCACAAGGGGCGGAAGCCUGAUGCAGCCAUGCGGCGUGUAUGAGGAAGGCCUUCGGGUUGUAAAGUACUUUCAGCGGGGAGGCGUUACCCGCAGAAGAAGCACCGGCUAACUCCGUGCCAGCAGCCGCGGUAAUUC